rnacentral:tRNA from 1 species
GGCCCCUUAGCUUAGUCCGGUGGAGCGCACGACUGAUAAUCGUGAGGUCCCCAGUUCAAAUCUGGGAGGGGCCA